UACGGGGGGGGCAAGCGUUGUUCGGAAUUACUGGGCGUAAAGGGCUCGUAGGUGGCCAACUAAGUCAGACGUGAAAUCCCUCGGCUUAACCGAGGAACUGCGUCUGAUACUGGAUGGCUUGAGUGCAGGAGAGGAAUGCGGAAUUCCAGGUGUAGCGGUGAAAUGCGUAGAUAUCCGGAAGAACACCGGAGGCGAAGGCGGCUGGCUGGGCCUGAUCUGACGCUGAGGUGCGAAAGCGUGGGGAGCGAACAGG
rnacentral:rRNA from 1 species